rnacentral:rRNA from 1 species
AAAUGUAGUCUUAUUAUAACAUAAUAAAACUUUCAACAACGGAUCUCUUGGCUCUCGCAUCGAUGAAGAACGCAGCGAAAUGCGAUAAGUAAUGUGAAUUGCAGAAUUCAGUGAAUCGUCGAAUCUUUGAACGCACCUUGCGCUCCUUGGUAUUCCGAGGAGCAUGCCUGUUUGAGUGUCAUGAAACCCUCAAACCCAAGUUUUGGAUUUCGAUCCAUGCUUGAGUUUGGAUUUGGAUGUUUGCCGGUGAUGAACCGACUCAUCUUAAAAGUAUUAGCUUGGAUCUGUCUAUAUGACUGGUCUGACUUGGCAUAAUAAGUAUUUUGCUGAGGACAUCUUCGGAUGGCCAGGACCUAGACUACUGUCUGCUAACUAAACCAUCACUUUAGGUGCAUCUUUGGAUGUUACUCAUUGUGUAACUUUGACAUCUGGCCUCAAAUCAAGUAGGACUACCCGCCGAACUUAAGCA